rnacentral:rRNA from 1 species
ACCCGCACAAGCGGUGGAGUAUGUGGUUUAAUUCGAUGCAACGCGAAGAACCUUACCUGGCCUUGACAUCCCGGGAAUUUCCUGGAAACAGGAGAGUGCUUUCAUUAGAGAGAACCUGGAGACAGGUGCUGCAUGGCUGUCGUCAGCUCGUGUCGUGAGAUGUUGGGUUAAGUCCCGCAACGAGCGCAACCCUUGCCUUUAGUUGCCAGCAGUUCGGCUGGGCACUCUAAAGGGACUGCCGGUGUCAAACCGGAGGAAGGUGGGGAUGACGUCAAGUCCUCAUGGCCUUUAUGGCCAGGGCUACACACGUACUACAAUGGCCGGUACAAAGGGCAGCGACAUUGCGAGAUGGAGCGAAUCCCGAAAAGCCGGUCUCAGUCCGGAUUGGAGUCUGCAACUCGACUCCAUGAAGUUGGAAUCGCUAGUAAUCGCGGAUCAGCAUGUCGCGGUGAAUACGUUCCCGGGUCUU